rnacentral:rRNA from 1 species
CCUACGGGGGGCAGCAGUGGGGAAUAUUGGACAAUGGGCGAAAGCCUGAUCCAGCCAUGCCGCGUGUGUGAAGAAGGCCUUCGGGUUGUAAAGCACUUUCAGUGGGGAAGAAAGCCUUGGGGCUAAUACCCUCGAGGAAGGACAUCACCCACAGAAGAAGCACCGGCUAACUCCGUGCCAGCAGCCGCGGUAAUACGGAGGGUGCGAGCGUUAAUCGGAAUUACUGGGCGUAAAGCGCGCGUAGGCGGUCUGAUAAGCCGGUUGUGAAAACCCCGGGCUCAACCUGGGAACGGCAUCCGGAACUGUCAGGCUAGAGUGCAGGAGAGGAAGGUAGAAUUCCCGGUGUAGCGGUGAAAUGCGUAGAGAUCGGGAGGAAUACCAGUGGCGAAGGCGGCCUUCUGGACUGACACUGACGCUGAGGUGCGAAAGCGUGGGUAGCAAACAGGAUUAGAUACCCGGGUAGUC